CAGUCGCCACGGGAAUACCGAGGGUGCAAGCGUUAAUCGGAAUUACUGGGCGUAAAGCGCGCGUAGGUGGUUUGUUAAGUUGGAUGUGAAAUCCCCGGGCUCAACCUGGGAACUGCAUCCAAAACUGGCAAGCUAGUAUGGUAGAGGGUGGUGGAAUUUCCUGUGUAGCGGUGAAAUGCGUAGAUAUAGGAAGGAACACCAGUGGCGAAGGCGACCACCUGGACUGAUACUGACACUGAGGUGCGAAAGCGUGGGGAGCAAACAGGAUUAGAUACCCCAGUAGUCCCUGUCUCUUAUACAC
rnacentral:rRNA from 1 species